UACGGAGGGUGCAAGCGUUAUCCGGAUUCACUGGGUUUAAAGGGUGCGUAGGCGGACAGGUAAGUCAGUGGUGAAAUCUCUGGGCUUAACUCAGAAACUGCCGUUGAUACUAUUUGUCUUGAAUAUCUUGGAGGUAAGCGGAAUAUGUCAUGUAGCGGUGAAAUGCUUAGAUAUGACAUAGAACACCGAUAGCGAAGGCAGCUUGCUACACGAGUAUUGACACUGAGGCACGAAAGCGUGGGGAUCAAACAGG
rnacentral:rRNA from 1 species